AAUGCUAUGGAAAUAACUGUAACUAGAUUUUCAUAUGAUUAAGUGAUGGAAAACAAUUAAGAACUAUAGAGCAUGUAAAUUUCGGCUAGUGAAUCACAAUGAAGCCUAGAGAGUGAGGACUUCGUCAAAAAUUUCAAAUGUUUGUUGUUGAACGAUGGGGAAAUGACUUUUUUUUUUCAACUAUGGCUUAAGUGAUUAACUGAACAAUGAGUGGACUACUGAAAAUGUGGCUUAGGCAUACUGAAAAGAAAGAAUCGCCCAAUGUCAAACCAUCGCAGUGCCGAGGGAAAGGAAAAUCGGGAAAAACCCGUUUACAAAAGGGGUUGAGAAAGAAGAAAAAACUUACCGAUGUUUCAAGUUGAAAGCUUCGAAGUAAACACAUAAGCGAGGAGCACGUUUUUCAACUCCUCGAACCCUAUUUAGUCCCGAAGUAAGAGAUGAAAAAACGAUCAGCCUACCAGAAAUGAGGUUAACCUAUGAUCCAAUAAAUAAGGAAGCGAUGAAAAUUUAACGAUUUACAAAAUUAAAGAGUAAAAUUAUAAAGUAAAAGCUAAAAUAGAAAAAUGAGAAUUAAAAAAAAAUGAAAAGGAGACUAACCUUUUUCAGACAGAAACCAGGUUCUUUAGUAAAUUGGCCGUAUUUAGCGAUAAACGCCUAGAAUGAAAGAGAGAAAAAGUCUCGGUGUGAAAAAUUGGCAAAUCUAAACUGGAAACUGUGAAAAUCUGGGAUUUGAAAUAAGUAAGCCGGCUCGAAAGUGAGCGAGGACGGGGACAGGACGAUCCAAUAUGGCGUUUCGCCGAGUCUGAUUAUAAAAAGGGGGCACUCCUACUCUGCGUCACUCCUCACCAUCGGCGGCGGGUCGGAUU